ACAUGAUAAGCUGUUUCAAAUCACUUCUAACAGUCUUGUUAUAAGAAUAUAUUGAAACAACACAUUUACAACAUCUCACAUUUAUCAGGGAUUGAAUGAGUUUCUGAAAUGUGAAGUGACAGAUGGUUAUGAUAAAAAAGAGAAGCUCUUAAUUGAGAAACCAGGUUAGAAUAUAAUGAGUUGUUUUAAAUCACUUAUCACACAUUUAAUCACAGAUAAUGCUUUUGGGAUUUGAGGUUUUGACGUCACAUCAUUUUGUCAUUUGGUUUAUGCAUAAAACAACUGGAACACCAACAAUUCAUGAAUGGACAUCUGAAAACAACAACAAAGAAACAGACAGCAAACAUCCAGAAGGACCAGCUGUGUGGUGGCUCAUCAUGGUGUCUGUGGGGUUAGCAGCUCUCAUCACCAUGGUUACAGUCCACAUCUGGACCAGAGCUAAAGGUGA